rnacentral:rRNA from 1 species
GAUGAACGCUGGCGGCGUGCCUAAUACAUGCAAGUCGAGCGGAGUGUGCACGCGUGUGUAACACGUGUGUAAACCCCCAGAAGACUGGGAUAACUUAGGGGAACCGGAGCUUAACCGGAUAAUGAGAGAUGGUGCCGGACGGCAUUAGCUAGUUGGUAAGGUAACGGCUUACCAAGGCAACGAUGCAUAGCCGACCUGGACGGGUGAUCGGCCACACUGGAACUGAGACACGGUCCAGACUCCUACGGGAGGCAGCAGUAGGGAAUCUUGCGCAAUGGGCGAAAGCCUGACGGAGCAACGCCGCGUGAGUGAUGAAGGUCUUCGGAUCGUAAAACUCUGUUAGUAGGGAAGCGGUACCUACUCAGAAAGCCACGGCUAACUCCGUGCCAGCAGCCGCGGUAAUAC